GCAAAGGUAGCAUAAUAAUUUGCCUCUUAAUUAGAGGCUAGUAUGAAUGGACUUUCUUUGCUUAACUGUCUCAAGCUUACUCCCGAAAAUUUUUCUCUAUGUGAAGAAACGUAGAUCCCCCAGAAGGACCAAAAGACCCUAUAGAGCUUUAUGAGCGACUUUAAGACAAAAGACACCCUCAUUUCAUUGGGGCGAUGAAAGAAUAAACCUUCUUAACUUAAAAUAAGCUACUACUUUAUUCGCUAUGCUAUUAAAGAUAAAGAAAAAGCUACCUUAGGGAUAACAGUCUAAUUUUCCUCAAUAGCCCACAUCUACAGGAAAGAUUGGCAC
rnacentral:rRNA from 1 species